UGGUACAACAGUUGUAUGAAAAGUUGGUACGUGCGAGGAGACCGACCAACUUUUUCAUACAACUUAAAAGUGACAAGUUGGGCCAACUGUUGGUGUGUCUGAGGGCAGGUUAACAGCGUGAUUUGGAGAGAGAACCUACAAAUUAGUACUAAUUCUGAUACAACGCUUUCCCGUACUCCAAAAACUAGCAAAACAUGCAGCUCUCUCGAGAAAAAAUGGCCCUGAGUGGUGCACAAUUUCUGCUUGUUUUAGCUACAUGAAUUUGGCCGAGCAGAAAUGUGCAAAUUUGACAUUUAAUUGGCAGGGCUAACAAGUUUGAAAAAUGUAUUGAUACAUUUCAAUGUUCGCGCGUGUCAACAAAUGUAAAGAAAAAAGAUAAACUUAAAAAUUAAAGAAAAAAUAAUAUUUGUCGUGCAAUAAAACAAAAAGAGAAAAUAUGGAACAACUAAUGUAUUCACUUUUUGAUGAUUCCAGGAGUGAAGAGGACUGGCUGAAUGAGGAAUCAGAUCGAGAAAACGUAUUGGAAAACAGUGCAAAAUUAGUGAAAGGUUGGCUGUCUUCCCAACUUGUGGCAUUAAGUCUUCUACCAGACUUAACAUUAAUUUAACCGGCGCCUCCAACCAUGUCAGAUUCUCCGGGGUUGGGAUUUGAGAAAACUCCACCUCUAAAUACUCUUCAACGCAUUCUGAAAACAAAACUUUCUAAAUAAGCAGCAUUCGAAAAUAAUUAUUAAUUUUAUUUAAUUUUCAAUACUCAUUUUUUUAAAUUUUGGCGUCCAUUUCAGUAAGAUUUCAUCAGUCCGAUUUAGGCUGUUUCCAUUUGGAAUUUUGAAUGUUGAAAUGUUACCGCAUUUCUGCUAAUUAUUUUUUGAGCACACCUAAAUGAGAAUGGCAUUUCGUACUGUUCUCUCUUCUGCUAGUUUUACUACUAAAAAAGUACUGGAACACAACUAAUAUCUAAAAUACAUAAAGUUCACCCCGCAAUGCAGAAAUGUGUGGGGAAUAUUGCAAUAACCGAACACAGAAUUGUCCAGAUUAUUUUAUUAACAAAUACAUAUUGUAAACCGGGAUCAAUAAUUAAAAGACGCAAAGUCUUUACCAUUUGAGCGUUUGUAAGACACUAAAUUUAUUUAUUAAAAAUAUUUCUUAAGACAUACUUAUGUUAAUAUGACUGAACCCAAAUCAUCAUUAAGUGUAAAUGAGAGAGAGAGAGACAGAUAAAUACCAACUGUACACAUGCCUAUGCACCACGCAUAGCUAUCUCACAUGUGGCAAGCAAACAUGGUGCGCUUGCUUAUCAGUCUGAGUAAAUAUUACAUCCCAUAAUCUAACUCCACCAUAACACAUGCAGCAAUUGAAAAUUCUGUAUUAGUUAUUUCUAACUCGCAGGUCUGCUCACCACAUUUUCUCAUCUUAUUUAAUGUGGACUGUAUUAAGAAGAUCCCUGUUUAACAAAUCCCCCUCAUCUACACUAGGUAGCCCCGCUAUUCUCUUUUAUUAUAAAAACAUGUUCACUUAUCCGUGAACAUUCUUGGCAGGGGCAAAAAUAAAUAUAAAGUAUAACAAGUAAAAAAGCUGUAAGUUCGGCCGGGCCGAACUUUGAAUACCCUCCACCAUUUGGUACAAAUUUAACAAUUUUCAUGAAAAUAAAAUCCGUUAAAAAUUCUGUUAAAAUCUUUAAAAUAUCUAAUGUAGACGUAUAUUAAAGUCUAUACGACGACGUGGACCUACAUAGGCAACUUUUGUCACAAGCUAUUACAAUAUUCAAAUGCGAAACUUGAAAAAAAUCUGUUUAUAAUGUAUCUAAAAUCAUCAAAAUACCGAAUAUGGGGAUAUACCUUGGUGGCUAUAAAACGUGAAUCUGCACAGACAAUUUUCUGUCAUAGGCUGUAAUAUCCAUUACGAACUUCAAAUGCGAAAUUUGAAAUAAUUCCGAUAAAUAAUUUCGCUAAAAUCAUCAAAAUACCGAAUAUCGGGAGGUACCGUUAUAUGGAGGCUAUACGAAGACGUGGACCUGCACAGACAAUUUUCUGUCAUAGGCUAUAGUAUUCAUUACGAACUUCAAAUGCCAAAUUUGAAAUAGUUCCGUUAUAUGGGGGCUAUACGAAGGCGUGGACCUGCACAGAAAAUUUUCUGACAUAGGUUGUAGCAUCCAUUACGAACUUCAAAUACAAAAUUUGAAACAAUUCCGGUAAAUAAUGUCGCUAAAAUCAUCAAAAUACCGAAUAUCGGGAGGUACCAAUAUAUGGGGGCUAUACGAAGACGUGGACCCGCACAGACAAUUUUCUGUCAUAGGCUAUAGUAUUCAUUUCGAACUUCAAAUGCCAGAUUUGAAAUAGUUCCGGUAUAUAAUGUCGCUAAAAUCAUAAAAAUACCGAAUAUCGGUAGGUACCGUUAUAUGGGGGCUAUACGAAGACAUGGACCUGCACAGACAAUUUUCUGUCUUAGGGUGUAGAUGGAUACUACACCCUAAGACAGACACUUCAGACACUAAGACAGAAACUUCAAAUACCAAAUUUGAAACAAUUCCGGUGAAUAAUGUCGCUAAAAUCAUCAAAAUACCGAAUAUCGGGAGGACCCGUUGUAUGGGGGCUAUAUGAUAACUUGGACCUACAUGGUCCAUUUACGAACUUAACCUGCCUACUGGCAAAAUAUACAUGUGUGCAAUAUUUUAGCCUUCUAUCUCAAUUUGUUUGAAACAUAGCAUUAUUACAACAGACAGACAGACAGACCGAAGGACAUGGCUAAAUCGUCUUAGAAUUUUACGCUGAUCAAGAAAAUAUAUACUUUGUUGGGUCUGACAUGAGUAUUUCGAGGAGUUACAAACGGUAUAAAAACCAAAAAGAUUGGCCUCAAGCUCAAACAAUUGCUUUUUUAUUU